rnacentral:lncRNA from 1 species
UGCAGGGAAACAUCCUCUACUCCGACAGGGUGAGUUCCCCUGAGCCAGCCUUUCUGACCCAUCCAGUAGGGAUGGCUGGAGCUGACCGUGGGAAAAGGCUGCUGGCGGGGGCCUGGGUGGGGUUGCAUUGUCUUGUGUCCCUCCCACCCCGUAAAUCCUUCUCAGUCGGAGCCUGGAGUGUCCUGUGGGAAGAUUGAUGGGGACUCUGGGCCUGUCAGCUGGUCCUGCCCUGGGACACUUGUGAUUUAAGUCCCUCAACAGUCUGGGGGAGGCUCUGAAAGUAUCCCUUGCAAAAGGGAGGAGGAAUGUGGAGGAUUUGGGGUCACCCCAAGGCACCAUGUGAGGUCAGGGGUGGCAGCGACCAGAGGUGGGAGGCAUCUCUGAAAAAUGAAACAUUUCUCUUCUGACAGCCACCCGGUUGAGAAGGUCACGGGGCCACAGAAGGGCUCCCCAUAAACAUCUGAGAGGGAUGAGCACCAUCUUAGUGCGCCACUCCUCGCCCUGGCCUCCUGGCCCCCUGGCCUCCUGUCUGCGCUGUACAGCAUUGGAAGAAUUUCCCAGAAUUUCAAGGAAUGAAAAUGUGAACAUUGGAAAUGGCCUGGCUUUUUAUCUCUGCCUGGGGAGAGAUAGCCGCCUGUGGAGCUGAGCUGCUUGCUGUGGCAUCAGGUGGCUGUGUGGCCCUGACUGCAGGGAUGGAAGGGUGAGAAGGCUGCAUGUGGGGCUCUUCUCUCUCCUUUGGGAGCCCUGCCCUCAUUGUGUGGACUCCUCAGUGGAAAAAACAGUUGCCAGGAACUCUUUUGCACUUAUGCAUUGGAGAUGGGGGCAAGAGGCCAUAUUUAGUAUGGAGAGGAUGUGAAGUUUUCCUUGGUGAUAAUAAUGCCAGCAGCUGUCAUCUUCCAAGCACCUAUUCGGUGUCAGAUCAUGGCAUGCGUUGUCUCAUUUUGUCUUCAUGACAGCCCCGAGGGUAGGUGUCAUUACCCGAUGUCACCCGAUGUCCUGGGUGGGGGUUUUGGAACUUCCUGUGUUCAUGUAGGAGGUGGGGCCUGGGUCUUCUCGGUUGCUCAGAACUCAGACUGUGGAUGAGGCCUGUG